AACGCUCUAACGGGGUGCCGGACGCGAUCUUCGCGGACCGGCUGAGAGGCAAGCCUGCCAACCCGCUGAACCUGAUCCGGUUUGUACCGGCGGAGGGAUUAGACGUUUCGGACAU
rfam:Mesorhizobium metallidurans STM 2683, WGS project CATM01000000 data, contig: ANX_1634_Contig_142